CCGCUGUUGCCUGACGAGCUUCUGCCGCCUCCGGCUGCAAACGAGCAAUCGCCUCCCAUUGCCACAAAGGCCGGGAAUUAGCAGCGGACGAUAUAGCCUCUACGGCCGACCAAAGCAACAGCAACCGCAGAGGCUGUUUUAUAAUCUGAUUCAUCUGAAAUGUCUAAGGCAGUGGCUUAGAAAGAAGUGAUAUGCCUACCAAACUCCAAUUAUCAUACAUGAAGAGGUUCUCCACAUCUACCACCAUCCCCAGAAGACGGUUGAUCUCUUCCUCAGAGACAUUCUCCAGAUGAGAGACAUGGUCAGCUAAAAGCAGCUUAAACAUUCAGAAUUCUCAGCCAAGGACUUCCUUCUCUGGCAUUGUCAGGAUUUGAAUUCCAGGCACAGGACCUAACCCCAUUUGGCUACG